AAUCAGGAAGACUAUUUAUCCUUUUCCCUGUUUUUUAGCCUUUUAAUUUACUUUUCCAAUUCAAGUUAAUAUACAAAAUUCCAAAAGUCACGAUUAAUUAAUGUGGAUUAACAACCGCUCCAGAAAACCCCAAAAGCCGCAUUACCUUGCUCACUUAAUAUGGAGUAACAAUCGCUCACCCCUCCAGAAACUCUCGAAAGCCUCAUUACAUUGCCGUCGCUUAAUUUCGAAGGUCUUUGUGAAACGCUUCGUAACGUCACUGUUAAACACAUUACUGAUCUUUCACUUCUAUCAGGUAAAUCUGCCUUCCUCUUUUCCUCUUUUUCAUCUUCUGUUUCCGAUUAUUCUUUUUCCUAUCACUCACCAAAGAUGAUUUCGUUCUGUUUGUUUUGUUUCUUACAAUAUUCAAGGCAAAUAUCUUUUUAAUUAUUUUCAAAUAUCGUUCUUCCCAUCAUGGUUUAGUAGGUAUUUCAUCUUUCUUCUGAUCCCAAUCGCUGCGUCAUGUUAGCAAUCAAUUUCCCAGGUAAAUCUCUUUCUAAUUAUCCUUUGAAUACAUUUCUUCCCUUCGUUAGGUGUUUUACAGAAUAAAUUAAUCGCAGUUCUGAAUUUUUAAACAGUAUGAAAUUGAAUUUUUAUUGUUUUUUUGCUCUUUUCCUUAUCAUCGAGGGGCUUAUACUGGUCACACUGGGCGACAUUCAUUGGACCGUGUAUUAACAGUGUACGGAGCGAUGAGUCGGAGCAGAAUCGCUUCUUCUUGUUUAUAUUUUGGAUGCAGAAGAAAGUACAAAAUAAGGAGAUGCAAAGCAACAGACUCAUUGGUAGUUUUGAGUCGAGUUAUGAAGGGAUGACAAGGAGAUGCAAAGCAGAAUAAAAGGAAGUAAGCAAUAAUGAGAUGCAAAGCCAACAUGAUUGGUAGUUUUGAGGCGAGUAGUGAAAGGAUCAAGAUUGCUGACAUCCUAAUCUUAUGAAAU